CCAGUUUACCAAAAGGUGCCAGUGGAAGUCCCCGUGUACCGGGACCGAAUACAUAAGGUGCCAGUUUACCGAAACGUUCCUUACCCUGUAUAUGUCCAUCCACCCAAGCAAGUGUACCACCAUCCACCAAGGCCUGUUUACCACCGUAAGUAAACACUGACUUUGAUUUGCGCACAACGACCCAUUGUUGUACACUAGUGCUCUUGCGACAAUAGGCGCGACUGUAGUGCAUGUCGGCAUGAU